rnacentral:pre_miRNA from 1 species
GAUAAAUCAAUCUUUUAUUUUUUACCUACGAUGUUUAAUUUUUGUCUUAUUCAAAAAAUUUAUGAUUAAUAUUUUUGUUUUUAUUAGAUUAUAAUUCAUGAAUAGUACUUUAGGUGUGACUAUUUUUUUAAAUUUCUUGAAAUUCUUUUAAAUAAGACAGAUGGUUAAACGCUGGACAUGAAAACCGAAAGUUUGUCUUAUU